rnacentral:SRP_RNA from 1 species
GCCGGGCAUGGUGGUGCAUGCCUGUAAUCCCAGCUACUCAGGAGGCUGAGGCAGGAGAAUCACUUGAACCCGGGAGGCGGAGGUUGCAGUGAGCCAAGAUUGCACCACUGCACUCCAGCUUGGGUGACAGAGCGAGACUCUGUCUCAA